UACGGGGGGGGCAAGCGUUGUUCGGAAUUAUUGGGCGUAAAGGGCUCGUAGGCGGUCCAUCGCGUCGGGAGUGAAAAGCUGGGGCUCAACCCCAGUCCUGCUUCCGAUACGGGUGGACUAGAGGUAUGCAGGGGAGAACGGAAUUCCUGGUGUAGCGGUGAAAUGCGCAGAUAUCAGGAGGAACACCGAUGGCGAAGGCAGGUCUCUGGGCCACUACUGACGCUGAGAAGCGAAAGCAUGGGGAGCGAACAGG
rnacentral:rRNA from 1 species